CUACGCACUCCUACGGGAGGCAGCAGUGGGGAAUAUUGCACAAUGGGCGCAAGCCUGAUGCAGCCAUGCCGCGUGUAUGAAGAAGGCCUUCGGGUGUAAAGUACUUUCAGCAGUGAGGAAGGUGGGUAUGUUAAUAGCAUAUUCAUUUGACGUUAGCUGCAGAAGAAGCACCGGCUAACUCCGUGCCAGCAGCCGCGGUAAUACGGAGGGUGCGAGCGUUAAUCGGAAUUACUGGGCGUAAAGCGCAUGCAGGUGGUUUGUUAAGUCAGAUGUGAAAGCCCGGGGCUCAACCUCGGAAUUGCAUUUGAAACUGGCAAACUAGAGUACUGUAGAGGGGGUAGAAUUUCAGGUGUAGCGGUGAAAUGCGUAGAGAUCUGAAGGAAUACCGGUGGCGAAGGCGGCCCCCUGGACAGAUACUGACACUCAGAUGCGAAAGCGUGGGGAGCAAACAGGAUUAGAUACCCUGGUAG
rnacentral:rRNA from 1 species